GUGGAAGGAAUCUCUGUUCUGGCUGUUCUGAGGUGCUUCGUGCUGCUUUGGGGUGGAGUCUCAGCACGCAAGGAUCAAGGAAGAAAUGUGAGGGUGCCAAGAAGAGAAGCAAUUGCAACAGAAGGAAAUGGGCUUGUUACAAGCCUACAGGCAGUUAAAAUGUUAUUUGUUCUACUGUGAAGCAAUUACCAGCCAAGACUGUAGGAAAUUUUUAAUUGAGUAUUGAUUUGAAACAAAAGCAGUGAUCACUUAAGCAGUUGUGUUCUGUUGAACUGCCCUCAUCUUGGCUUAAUGCAGACCUUCAGACAACUGUGUUAAUUAAUUUGUAUAUGGCAUUUGCCUUUUUGAAAAUCUUUUGGAGGAUCUGGAUGGGGAUCUUUUGGAUGAUCAAAAAUGUCAGUGUUUGGAAGAUGCUACUGUAAGGUUAUAGGUGACAGUUAUGGGAAUUCUGUUCAAUUAUAUAACAAUAUUGAAGUUUCACCUUCAAAGAACAAAACUGGCAUCUGUAUUACCUCCAAAUACAGUUGGAGAGUCCUUUGCAGUUUUUAAGUUUUAAAUAAUAUGUGGAUGUUAUUGAACAUGUACUCAGGAAAAGGGUACCUGAAACAGGAGUCCCAGUGGAGAAGUUUUGUGGGAAAAAUUUAUCCUGUCUUAGAGAAGCGUGUUUGAGACUGAAGGACUUUUACUCUCAGCCACAAAAGUUAGUUUCCUGGAAAAGAAGCACAUUCUUUUUCUCCAGCCUGUUUUUUUUUUCUGGUGCCCACUCUGUUUCUGUUGCAAAAGCAAGAAAUUCAGCAUAAAUUAUGCCUGUGCAGGAAGACAGCGCCUGUGCUUCGAAUCAUGCAUCCCGGGGUUCCUUCAGCACAACUUUUGAAAGCAACUGUCCUGUCACAUACUGGGUGACAGGGAAUGACAAAGGCAUUGGAGGAAAGUAUGUCUGAUGUCAUCUGGGACCAUCUUACAAGUUAGCGUGUGUCACCAUCAUAUUUUCUGAAAAAACCCUUGCCCAGGAUUCUUCUCUUGGGAAGCUGAGAAGCCUCAAAGAAAAAAGAAAACAAUAAGUAUCUCAUUUGCUUCUCCUGUGCUUUGCUGCUUUGGAAUGUGGUUUGGAUAUUGUUUACCAACAGGUGCAUGUAUCAUUGGUUUCAUGUGAAUUGUUUUUAAUUAAUGACCAAUUCCCAUCUAG